rnacentral:tRNA from 1 species
AUUUAUAUAGUAUAACGUUCUAUUACAUUUAACUUCCAAUUAAAAAAUUUAACUAAAAUUAAUAUAAAUA